GCCGGCCUUGCCCGAAUUCGACCCAGUUUUGGCCGAACCUGUUUUAGGUCGGUUUGUAUCGAACUAUUUCGACCCCUGGUCGUCCUGGACGCCUAUAUAAGCCCCAGGGACGCCCCCAAAUUAGGUUUAGACCACGUUUAAGAUAAACCCUAGUUCUUAGUUGUUUGCUAUGCAAAACUAUUGAAUCCCAACUCUCCAAUUCGUU